UUUGUGGCUUUCCGUGUGGAUUAGGUGUUCACACCACAGUGUCAACAAGUGCCUCAGGUGAAGCUAAAUGAACUCCAUGUUCUGUUUUGCUGGCUGCUGACUCAGUUAAAAGGUGUUGUUGGCGACAGUCGCUGUCCCUCAAAUCCGUCAAGGAUUACUAAGAACGCAUGGUUCGGACACAGAUAGCUUUACUCUCCUGACUACCUUGCUCCAAGACACACUCGGAGACCUCACACUGCGCUUUUAUUGCAUUCAUUUUUGUCUCUUUUGGCUCCUCGUUCGUUACCGGGAAACUGUUCAGUUUUGUUAUCCUUUUGUAUACAUAUAUAUUUCAUAUAUAUAUCCUCUUUCAGCAUCUAUACAAAAUGACACAUGCCUUCUACUAUGGUCUGCACCCAGUCUCUUGGUUCAUUCUUUUUGCUAAUGUUGCCGUCACCAUCGUGGAAUGGUAUUUUCUCGUUUCUCAGUUUAUCAAACUUUCCAAGCAACAAGAAAAUGAAUCUAAACCCUAGAGGAGUCAAGUGCAACCUGAUGCUGCACCAAGAAGAUCCGGGAGGAUGUAUUUUUGGAUCACCAUUUGCACACCCACUUGUAGAGAAAAAUCAUUAAUGAGCUAUCUGUGGACAACAUGUACCAGUUUGGAAGUCCUUUUAUUCACAAGUCCAAAAAAAGAGCUGAGGAGGCGUUUUAGGUUUUGAUUACAAGACUGGAUUCUUGGCCCCAAACCAGUGGAGGAUGAUUCAGAGGAAGGGGGAACAAAAAUAGAAAAAGAGCACCGACUGAGUGUUUCCAGUAAUGUGAUGGAGAAAGACAGGCUGAAGAUGGAGACAGAAAAGGACGGGCUCCUUCCUGGUUUCCACCGUCCAUCUGUCCAUCCGUCCUCCCCUGUUCCUCUGAGAAGCGCCUUUGCUUCAUCACACCCUGGAGAAAAAAGGAUAUCUACUCAUAGUGUGACCUUUGCUUGCCCCAUGAGUCCUUAUGUCACUUCCCUUUGAGUGUUGUCUCGUAGCUCAUUUCAGUGCAGUGAUCAGUGUUGUCAUUUUGCAGUAGCCAUGAUGUAACAGCUAAUGUAUUUUUU